CUCAGGCACUCGCUUGUGGGACGCCGGGGAGGGAGGAAGGAGGAACACGUGCCACCCAUCAAGGACUCCUAGGACUCUUGCCUCCUCAGGAUCCGCCAGGAAGGCCUUUGGACUCGUGCGGCGUCAGGAGGCACCAGGGAAGGAUGGAAGGACCUGUGGGAGCCGCUAGUAAAAGACGAGAGGGAAGGUGUGGAGCUCCAGGAAGAAGACUCAAGGCUGCACAAGACCUUAGUUUGUCCUCAGCGGCUGGUGGCUGGACAGCAGCAGGUGGCUGAUAACUUUGUGUUGUAGUGACGACCCUUUGCCAGCUGUCCUAAGCCUCCAAGAUGUCCCCCAUUCUGGCCUGCGUGGGGAGACUUCUUGCACCGGGUGACAAACCAACAGAAGUCCCCCGUCUUGCCCUGGGUAGAGAGAUGCCUUGAACAUAGCACCAGAACAAUCCAGCUGCCAGAAGUCCCCCAUCUUGCCCUGGGUAGAGAGAGAGAUGCCUUGCACACAGUGCCAGGACACUCCAGCUGUCAGAAGUUCCCCGUCCUGGGCUGGGUGGAGGAAAGUCUUGGCCAGGGUGACGAGACCGUGCAGCCGCCAAGUCAGCCCUCUGGAGCCACCCGUUGAGCAGAAGAAAGAUAUUAGAACUCUGUAAACCUUAUGGACUCGCAUUCAGUGAGCUGUUAACUCACUCGGCCAUUCAUGUCUGGAAGAUGUCAAAUUAAAAGUUAAGGGAGA